UACGUAGGGUGCGAGCGUUGUCCGGAAUUAUUGGGCGUAAAGAGCUUGUAGGCGGUCUGUCGCGUCUGCUGUGAAAAUCCGGGGCUCAACCCCGGACUUGCAGUGGGUACGGGCAGACUAGAGUGUGGUAGGGGAGACUGGAAUUCCUGGUGUAGCGGUGAAAUGCGCAGAUAUCAGGAGGAACACCGGUGGCGAAGGCGGGUCACUGGACUGGUACUGACGUGAGCGAGCGAAGACGUGGGGAGCAAACGGG
rnacentral:rRNA from 1 species